AGGCAUACGGCUCAGUAACGCGUAGUCAACCUAACCUAUGGACGGGAAUAACCUCGGGAAACUGAGAAUAAUGCCCGAUAGAACAUUAUGCCUGGAAUGGUUUAUGUUCCAAAUGAUUUAUCGCCGUAGGAUGGGACUGCGGCCUAUCAGUUUGUUGGUGAGGUAAUGGCCCACCAAGACUAUUACAGGUACGGGCUCUGAGAGGAGUAGCCCGGAGAUGGGUACUGAGACACGGACCCAGGCCCUAUGGGGCGCAGCAGGCGAGAAAACUUUGCAAUGUGCGAAAGCACGACAAGGUUAAUCCGAGUGGUUUCUGCUAAAGAAACCUUUUGUCAGUCCUAGAAACACUGAUGAAUAAGGGGUGGGCAAGUUCUGGUGUCAGCCGCCGCGGUAAAACCAGCACCUCAAGUGGUCAGGAUGAUUAUUGGGCCUAAAGCAUCCGUAGCCGGCUCUGUAAGUUUUCGGUUAAAUCUGUACGCUCAACGUACAGGCUGCCGGGAAUACUGCAGAGCUAGGGAGUGGGAGAGGUAGACGGUACUCGGUAGGAAGGGGUAAAAUCCUUUGAUCUAUUGAUGACCACCUGUGGCGAAGGCGGUCUACCAGAACACGUCCGACGGUGAGGGAUGAAAGCUGGGGGAGCAAACCGGAUUAGAUACCCGGGUAGUCCCAGCUGUAAACUAUGCAAACUCAGUGAUGCAUUGGCUUGUGGCCAAUGCAGUGCUGCAGGGA
rnacentral:rRNA from 1 species